rnacentral:rRNA from 1 species
UGGGGAAUCUUGCGCAAUGGGCGAAAGCCUGACGCAGCGACGCCGCGUGGGUGAUGAAGGCCUUCGGGUUGUAAAGCCCUGUGGGGAGGGAAGAAUAAGGGUUGGCUAAUAUCCAAUCUGAUGACGGUACCUCCUUAGCAAGCACCGGCUAACUCUGUGCCAGCAGCCGCGGUAAGACAGAGGGUGCGAACGUUGUUCGGAAUUACUGGGCGUAAAGCGCGUGUAGGCGGCACUACAAGUCGGGUGUGAAAGCCCUCGGCUCAACCGAGGAAGUGCACACGAAACUGUAGAGCUAGAGUUCCGGAGAGGAUGGUGGAAUUCUCGGUGUAGAGGUGAAAUUCGUAGAUAUCGAGAGGAACACCGGUGGCGAAGGCGGCCAUCUGGACGGAAACUGACGCUGAGACGCGAAAGCAUGGGGAGCAAACAGG